rnacentral:rRNA from 1 species
UAGGGAAUCUUCGGCAAUGGACGAAAGUCUGACCGAGCAACGCCGCGUGAGUGAAGAAGGUUUUCGGAUCGUAAAACUCUGUUGUUAGAGAAGAACAAGGACGUUAGUAACUGAACGUCCCCUGACGGUAUCUAACCAGAAAGCCACGGCUAACUACGUGCCAGCAGCCGCGGUAAUACGUAGGUGGCAAGCGUUGUCCGGAUUUAUUGGGCGUAAAGCGAGCGCAGGCGGUUGCUUAAGUCUGAUGUGAAAGCCCCCGGCUCAACCGGGGAGGGUCAUUGGAAACUGGGAGACUUGAGUGCAGAAGAGGGGAGUGGAAUUCCAUGUGUAGCGGUGAAAUGCGUAGAUAUAUGGAGGAACACCAGUGGCGAAGGCGGCUCUCUGGUCUGUAACUGACGCUGAGGCUCGAAAGCGUGGGGAGCAAACAGG